GACGAACGCUGGCGGCGUGCCUAAUACAUGCAAGUAGAACGCUGAAGGAGGAGCUUGCUUCUCUGGAUGAGUUGCGAACGGGUGAGUAACGCGUAGGUAACCUGCCUGGUAGCGGGGGAUAACUAUUGGAAACGAUAGCUAAUACCGCAUAAGAGUAGAUGUUGCAUGACAUUUGCUUAAAAGGUGCAAUUGCAUCACUACCAGAUGGACCUGCGUUGUAUUAGCUAGUUGGUGAGGUAACGGCUCACCAAGGCGACGAUACAUAGCCGACCUGAGAGGGUGAUCGGCCACACUGGGACUGAGACACGGCCCAGACUCCUACGGGAGGCAGCAGUAGGGAAUUUUCGGCAAUGGACGGAAGUCUGACCGAGCAACGCCGCGUGAGUGAAGAAGGUUUUCGGAUCGUAAAGCUCUGUUGUAAGAGAAGAACGAGUGUGAGAGUGGAAAGUUCACACUGUGACGGUAUCUUACCAGAAAGGGACGGCUAACUACGUG
rnacentral:rRNA from 1 species